GCCAGGUGCGGUGGCCCAUACCUGUAAUUCCAGCUGCUUGGGAGGCUGAGACAGGAGGGUCACGAGUUCAAAGCCAGUUUCAGCAAUGGUGAGGUGCUAAGCAACUCAGUGAGACCCUGUCUCUA
rnacentral:sRNA from 1 species